UACAGAGGUCCCAAGCGUUGUUCGGAUUCACUGGGCGUAAAGGGUACGUAGGUGGCGAAGUAAGUCGGAUGUGAAAUCUCCGAGCUCAACUCGGAAACUGCAUUGGAAACUACUUUGCUUGAGGGUCGGAGGGGGGACUGGAAUUCUCGGUGUAGCAGUGAAAUGCGUAGAUAUCGAGAGGAACACCAGUGGCGAAGGCGAGUCCCUGGACGACUCCUGACACUGAGAGACGAAAGCUAGGGGAGCGAAUGGG
rnacentral:rRNA from 1 species